GGGGAUAUACAUGUAGCUCAGUGGUAGAGCAUUUCACUGCAGAUCAAGAGGUCCCCGGUUCGAACCCGGGUGUCCCCU